AGAUAGAGUUUAGUUAAAUUUCAAAUAUAACAGGGGUAUUUAUGAAAUAAAGUAAGUAAUUGACCAUUAAAUAUAAGAGGGGUAAAGUUGGAAUUUAAGUAUUAUUAACUUCAAUUUGGAUGGGCACUUAAUGGUAGGGUUAUUUUUGAAAGUUUUUUAAAUUUAGGAGGGUAUACAUGAUAUUUCAAUUUUUAUAUGGAUAUUUAUGAAAUUAGAUAAUUUUAGAAGUGUAUUGAGAAAAUUUUUUCUAUUUUAUAAAUUAUAAAAUUUUAAAGAAUUAUUUUGUUAAAAU
rnacentral:lncRNA from 1 species